rnacentral:rRNA from 1 species
GUCGAAAGACGUAGUCGAUGGAUAACAGGUUGAAAUUCCUGUACUAUCCUGUAACAGAACUGUGGGGACACAGGCAGAGAGCGUGAGCCGGGAAUGGAAAGACCGGUACAAGCGAGGUAGGAGAAGAGUUGGCAAAUCCGCUCUUUAAUCUGAAGACGUGAUGUGGACUGAAAAUAAGUAGGGAAGCACGUGAGCUGACUGUCAAGAAAAGCCGCUAUUGUUUGCAGGGUACCCGUACCGUAAACCGACACAGGUGGAUGAGGAGAGAAUCCUAAGGCCGACGGGAGAAGCAUUGUUAAGGAACUCGGCAAAAUGACUCCGUAACUUCGGGAGAAGGAGUGCCAGUAAGAUGGCCGCAGAGAAUUGGCCCAAGCAACUGUUUAGCAAAAACACAGGUCUAUGCAAAACCGAAAGGUGAGGUAUAUGGGCUGACGCCUGCCCGGUGCUGGAAGGUUAAGGGGGGAGGUUAGCGCAAGCGAAGCCUUGAACUUAAGCCCCAGUAAACGGCGGCCGUAACUAUAACGGUCCUAAGGUAGCGAAAUUCCUUGUCGGGUAAGUUCCGACCCGCACGAAAGGCGUAAUGAUUUGGGCACUGUCUCAACAAUGCACCCGGUGAAAUUGAAAUACCAGUGAAGAUGCUGGUUACCUGCGCCAGGACGGAAGACCCCAUGGAGCUUUACUCCAGCUUGAUACUGGGAUUCGGUAUUGCAUGUACAGGAUAGGUGGGAGGCUAGGAAAUGGUAACGCCAGUUGCCAUGGAGCCAAUGUUGGGAUACCACCCUUGCAGUACUGGGUAUCUAACCAGCAGCCGUGAUCCGGCUGGGGGACAAUGUCAGGUGGGGAGUUUGACUGAGGCGGUCGCCUCCGAAAGGGUAUCGGAGGCGCUCAAAGGUUCCCUCAGAAUGGUUGGAAACCAUUCGAAGAGUGCAAAGGCAGAAGGGAGCUUGACUGCGACACCGACGGGUGGAGCAGGUACGAAAGUAGGACUUAGUGAUCCGGUGGUAUAAAGUGGGAUGCCAUCGCUCAACGGAUAAAAGCUACCCUGGGAUAACAGGCUUAUCACUCCCAAGAGUUCACAUCGACGGAGUGGUUUGGCACCUCGAUGUCGGCUCAUCGCAUCCUGGGGCUGAAGUAGGUCCCAAGGGUUGGGCUGUUCGCCCAUUAAAGCGGUACGCGAGCUGGGUUCAGAACGUCGUGAGACAGUUCGGUCCCUAUCCGGCGUGGGCGUAAGAUAUUUGAGAGGAGCUGUCCUUAGUACGAGAGGACCGGGAUGGACUGGCCGCUGGUGUAUCUGUUGUCUUACCAAAGGCAUAGCAGAGUAGCCAAGCCGGGAAGGGAUAAACGCUGAAGGCAUCUAAGCGUGAAGCCCCCCUCAAGAUGAGAUAUCUCAUAACGUCAAGUUAGUAAGACCCCUUGAAGACGACGAGGUAGAUAGGGCAGAGGUGGAAGUGUGGUAACACAUGGAGCUGACUGUUACUAAUAGGUCGAGGGCAUAACCU